UACGUAGGGAGCUAGCGUUGUCCGGAAUCAUUGGGCGUAAAGCGCGCGUAGGCGGCCCGGUAAGUCCGCUGUGAAAGUCAAAGGCUCAACCUUUGAAUGUCAGCGGAUACUGCCGGGCUAGAGUCCGGAAGAGGCGAGUGGAACUCCUGGUGUAGCGGUGGAAUGCGCAGAUAUCAGGAAGAACACCAACGGCGAAGGCAGCUCGCUGGGACGGAACUGACGCUGAGAAGCGAAAGCAUGGGGAGCGAACAGG
rnacentral:rRNA from 1 species